AGAAAGACUGAAAAAACUUGGAGAUGCUGAGAGCUGAGAUGCACACCCAGACCUCCCCAUCUCUGCACUCCGUGGUCUGAGCCAGCUCAGGGAGCUUGCAGCAGGGAGAGAAGAGCAGCACAGAAGGGGUCUCUGGGAGUGUGAGCAGGGAGUGGGAAUCACAUCCUGUAGCCACUUGGCCUGCUUCCCAAUACAUCAAAAGGUACCACACCAUGACUGGCUACAUAUAUGUCUCAGCUCCAGUGUGCAAAGAGUAUCCUGAGGGGGCUUAAUGGACUCAUUAUUGAUAAGCCUCUGCAAGACAUUCCAAAGCAGUUUAACAUCGCCAGGCUGAGGUGAGAAAGCCC
rnacentral:lncRNA from 1 species